rnacentral:rRNA from 1 species
ACACAUGCAGUCGAGCGGUAACAGGAAGGAAGCUUGCUUUCUUUGCUGACGAGCGGCGGACGGGUGAGUAAUGCCUGGGAAAUUGCCCUGAUGUGGGGGAUAACCAUUGGAAACGAUGGCUAAUACCGCAUGAUGCCUACGGGCCAAAGAGGGGGACCUUCGGGCCUCUCGCGUCAGGAUAUGCCCAGGUGGGAUUAGCUAGUUGGUGAGGUAAUGGCUCACCAAGGCGACGAUCCCUAGCUGGUCUGAGAGGAUGAUCAGCCACACUGGAACUGAGACACGGUCCAGACUCCUACGGGAGGCAGCAGUGGGGAAUAUUGCACAAUGGGCGCAAGCCUGAUGCAGCCAUGCCGCGUGUAUGAAGAAGGCCUUCGGGUCGUAAAGUACUUUCAGUCGUGAGGAAGGGGGUAUCGUUAAUAGCGGUAUUCUUUGACGUUAGCGACAGAAGAAGCACCGGCUAACUCCGUGCCAGCAGCCGCGGUAAUACGGAGGGUGCGAGCGUUAAUCGGAAUUACUGGGCGUAAAGCGCAUGCAGGUGGUUUGUUAAGUCAGAUGUGAAAGCCCGGGGCUCAACCUCGGAGUUGCAUUUGAAACUGGCAGGCUAGAGUACUGUAGAGGGGGGUAGAAUUUCACGUGUAGCGGUGAAAUGCGUAGAGGUCUGAA